GACGAACGCUGGCGGCGUGCUUAACACAUGCAAGUCGAACGGAAAGGCCCUGCUUUUGUGGGGUGCUCGGGUGGCGAACGGGUGAGUAACACGUGAGUAACCUGCCCUUGACUUUGGGAUAACUUCAGGAAACUGGGGCUAAUACCGGAUAGGAGCUCCUGCUGCAUGGUGGGGGUUGGAAAGUUUCGGCGGUUGGGGAUGGACUCGCGGCUUAUCAGCUUGUUGGUGGGGUAGUGGCUUACCAAGGCUUUGACGGGUAGCCGGCCUGAGAGGGUGACCGGCCACAUUGGGACUGAGAUACGGCCCAGACUCCUACGGGAGGCAGCAGUGGGGAAUAUUGCACAAUGGGCGGAAGCCUGAUGCAGCAACGCCGCGUGCGGGAUGACGGCCUUCGGGUUGUAAACCGCUUUCGCCUGUGACGAAGCGUGAGUGACGGUAAUGGGUAAAGAAGCACCGGCUAACUACAUG
rnacentral:rRNA from 1 species